CAUGACACUUGCUUGUGAAGGAUGUAUACAAGGCAAACAACAAAGGGCUUCAUUUCCAAGUGGAGUUGCAACACAUGCAACAAAAUUGUUAGAGAUUGUGCACUCAGAUGUUUGUAGACCAAUGAAGACACUAUAAAUUGAAAGCACAUAUCAAAGUAUUUUGAUGACUUCAUGAAGAUUUAACGUAUUGCAAGACAAACCUCUACU
rnacentral:lncRNA from 1 species